UACGUAGGGUGCAAGCGUUAUCCGGAAUUACUGGGCGUAAAGCGUGCGUAGGCGGCGAGGUAAGUCUGGUGUGAAAUCCUGGGGCUCAACCCCAGAAUUGCACUGGAUACUGCUUUGCUAGAGGACUGGAGAGGAGAUUGGAAUUCACGGUGUAGCAGUGAAAUGCGUAGAUAUCGUGAGGAAGACCAGUGGCGAAGGCGAAUCUCUGGACAGUUCUUGACGCUGAGGCACGAAGGCUAGGGGAGCAAACGGG
rnacentral:rRNA from 1 species